UACAGAGGGGGCAAGCGUUGUUCGGAAUUACUGGGCGUAAAGGGCGCGUAGGCGGCCUCUUAAGUCGAACGUGAAAUCCCCGGGCUCAACCCGGGAACUGCGUCCGAUACUGGGAGGCUUGAAUCCGGGAGAGGGAUGUGGAAUUCCAGGUGUAGCGGUGAAAUGCGUAGAUAUCUGGAGGAACACCGGUGGCGAAGGCGGCAUCCUGGACCGGUAUCGACGCUGAGGCGCGAAAGCCAGGGGAGCAAACGGG
rnacentral:rRNA from 1 species